UACGUAGGGGGGCUAGCGUUGUCCGGAAUCAUUGGGCGUAAAGCGCGCGCAGGCGGUCCUUUAAGUCUGAUGUGAAAGCCCACGGCUCAACCGUGGAGGGUCAUUGGAAACUGGGGGACUUGAGUGCAGAAGAGGAGAGUGGAAUUCCACGUGUAGCGGUGAAAUGCGUAGAGAUGUGGAGGAACACCAGUGGCGAAGGCGACUCUCUGGUCUGUAACUGACGCUGAGGCGCGAAAGCGUGGGGAGCAAACAGG
rnacentral:rRNA from 1 species